rfam:Rattus norvegicus chromosome 2, whole genome shotgun sequence.
GGAGAUUUAGCUCAGUGGUAGAGCGUUUGCCUAGCAAGCGCAAGGCCCUGGGUUCGGUCCCCAGCUCCG